UACGUAGGGUGCGAGCGUUGUCCGGAAUUACUGGGCGUAAAGAGCUCGUAGGUGGUUUGUCGCGUUGUUCGUGAAAUCUCACGGCUUAACUGUGAGCGUGCGGGCGAUACGGGCAGACUAGAGUACUGCAGGGGAGACUGGAAUUCCUGGUGUAGCGGUGAAAUGCGCAGAUAUCAGGAGGAACACCGGUGGCGAAGGCGGAUCUCUGGGCCAUUACUGACGCUGAGGAGCGAAAGCGUGGGGAGCGAACAGG
rnacentral:rRNA from 1 species